CCAAAAAGAAAAAAACAAACAUAUUAUAGUUUUUAUUUGGUUAAGAUGGCAAGAAAUAAUGUUACACACCAAUUGUUCAUACAAUAAUCUAUUCAGUGCUGGUUGUGGCUUAAUACUAAAAAUACUUAAAAACAUGACAUAUAUGAAGAGUAUGAGUGAGAUUUUACAGAAUCUACUUGAUCUGUUCAUUAUAAUCAUUAAAGCUGGCAUUAGUAAAACUACAACAGUUGUGAAUCUACAUUAUAAUUAUGCACCAUGACAGCAAAUCUAGAUCACGUAAAAUGAGGGAGGAGGAUUUUUAAAGUGGGUACAAACAGAGUUGUGACUCACAAGAGUCAACAUGAACUGUGAUCAAAAUAUCCACGGCCAUGUUCUAGCUCAAGACCUGUAUGAAUCACAGGCUGAGUGGUAAUGAAAGCAAAGCAUGUAUGCACACUGAAAUACUUGGGAUAAAUA